rnacentral:rRNA from 1 species
GAUGAACGCUGGCGGCGUGCCUAAUACAUGCAAGUCGAGCGAAUGGAUUAAGAGCUUGCUCUUAUGAAGUUAGCGGCGGACGGGUGAGUAACACGUGGGUAACCUGCCCAUAAGACUGGGAUAACUCCGGGAAACCGGGGCUAAUACCGGAUAAUAUUUUGAACUGCAUGGUUCAAAAUUGAAAGGCGGCUUCGGCUGUCACUUAUGGAUGGACCCGCGUCGCAUUAGCUAGUUGGUGAGGUAACGGCUCACCAAGGCAACGAUGCGUAGCCGGCCUGGGAGGGUGAUCGGCCACACUGGGACUGAGACACGGACCAGACUCCUACGGGAGACAGCAGUAGGGAAUCUUCCGCAAUGGACGAAAGUCUGACGGAGCAACGCCGCGUGAGUGAUGAAGGCUUUCGGGUCGUAAAACUCUGUUGUUAGGGAAGAACAAGUGCUAGUUGAAUAAGCUGGCACCUUGACGGUACCUAACCAGAAAGCCACGGCUAACUACGUGCCAGCAGCCGCGGUAA